UACGUAGGGUGCAAGCGUUGUCCGGAAUUAUUGGGCGUAAAGAGCUCGUAGGCGGUGUGUCGCGUCGGCCGUGAAAACCUGGGGGCUCAACUCUGGGCGUGCGGUCGAUACGGGCAUCACUUGAGUUCGGCAGGGGAGACUGGAAUUCCUGGUGUAGCGGUGAAAUGCGCAGAGUAUCGGGAGGAACACCGGUGGCGAAGGCGGGUCUCUGGGCCGAUACUGACGCUGAGGAGCGAAAGCGUGGGGAGCGAACAGG
rnacentral:rRNA from 1 species